rnacentral:rRNA from 1 species
CCUCAUCGCAUGKGGGGGKGGAAAGCUUUAUUGUGKUUUGGAUGGACUCGCGGCCUAUCAGCUUGUUGGUGAGGUAAUGGCUCACCAAGGCGACGACGGGUAGCCGGCCUGAGAGGGUGACCGGCCACACUGGGACUGAGACACGGCCCAGACUCCUACGGGAGGCAGCAGUGGGGAAUAUUGCACAAUGGGCGAAAGCCUGAUGCAGCGACGCCGCGUGAGGGAUGACGGCCUUCGGGUUGUAAACCUCUUUCAGUAGGGAAGAAGCGAAAGUGACGGUACCUGCAGAAGAAGCGCCGGCUAACUACGUGCCAGCAGCCGCGGUAAUACGUAGGGCGCAAGCGUUAUCCGGAAUUAUUGGGCGUAAAGAGCUCGUAGGCGGUUUGUCGCGUCUGCCGUGAAAGUCCGGGCUCACUCCGGAUCUGCGGUGGGUACGGGCAGACUAGAGUGAUGUAGGGGAGACUGGAUUCUGGUGUAGCGGUGAAAUGCGCAGAUAUCAGGAGGAACACCGAUGGCGAAGGCAGGUCUCUGGGCAUUAACUGACGCUGAGRAGCGAAAGCAUGGRGAGCGAACAGGAUUAGAUACCCUGGUAGUCCAUGCCGUAAACGUUGGGCACUAGGUGUGGGGGACAUUCCACGUUUUCCGCGCCGUAGCUAACGCAUUAAGUGCCCCGCCUGGGGAGUACGGCCGCAAGGCUAAAACUCAAAGGAAUUGACGGGGGCCCGCACAAGCGGCGGAGCAUGCGGAUUAAUUCGAUGCAACGCGAAGAACCUUACCAAGGCUUGACAUGAACCGGAAAUACCUGGAAACAGGUGCCCCGCUUGCGGUCGGUUUACAGGUGGUGCAUGGUUGUCGUCAGCUCGUGUCGUGAGAUGUUGGGUUAAGUCCCGCAACGAGCGCAACCCUCGUUCUAUGUUGCCAGCGCGUUAUGGCGGGGACUCAUAGGAGACUGCCGGGGUCAACUCGGAGGAAGGUGGGGACGACGUCAAAUCAUCAUGCCCCUUAUGUCUUGGGCUUCACGCAUGCUACAAUGGCCGGUACAAAGGGUUGCGAUACUGUGAGGUGGAGCUAAUCCCAAAAAGCCGGUCUCAGUUCGGAUUGGGGUCUGCAACUCGACCCCAUGAAGUCGGAGUCGCUAGUAAUCGCAGAUCAG